rnacentral:rRNA from 1 species
UACGUAGGGGGCGAGCGUUGUCCGGAAUCAUUGGGCGUAAAGCGCGUGUAGGCGGCUUGGUAAGUCCGGUGUGAAACCUUGGGGCUCAACCCCAAGCCUGCACUGGAUACUGCCUCGCUUGAGUCCGGGAGGGGAGAGCGGAAUUCCUAGUGUAGCGGUGAAAUGCGCAGAUAUCAGGAGGAACACCAGUGGCGAAGGCGGCUCACUGGUCCGGUACUGACGCUGAGGUGCGAAAGCGUGGGGAGCAAACAGG